rnacentral:rRNA from 1 species
AGCGAACGCUGGCGGCAGGCUUAACACAUGCAAGUCGAGCGGGCGUAGCAAUACGUCAGCGGCAGACGGGUGAGUAACGCGUGGGAACAUACCUUUUGGUUCGGAACAACACAGGGAAACUUGUGCUAAUACCGGAUAAGCCCUUACGGGGAAAGAUUUAUCGCCGAAAGAUUGGCCCGCGUCUGAUUAGCUAGUUGGUGAGGUAACGGCUCACCAAGGCGACGAUCAGUAGCUGGCUGAGAGGAUGAUCAGCCACAUUGGGACUGAGACACGGCCCAAACUCCUACGGGAGGCAGCAGUGGGGAAUAUUGGACAAUGGGCGAAAGCC